rnacentral:misc_RNA from 1 species
AUGUUAUAGGCUUCAGCACAUGAACCAUGAUGUUUCAAUCAGGAUCAUUCACUGAAGUGUAACAUGCUCCACAAUAUUCAGUUACUCACACAGAUACAUUGAACUCGUAAAAUUAUUCAACUAGUAGUGUUAGAAACCAUCAUUGCAAAAACAGUUCAAACAUGUUUAAGUUGAAUAAGUUGAGAAUAUUGAAUGUAAGCCAAAAUAGUGCUUAAACA